ACCAUGGUUUGCUGUUCAGAAGGCCGUCUAUAAUUCAUCAUAAACUAAAGGAACACAGGUCAGAUUCGGACAACGACUUCAAAUUCAUUCGCAGAAUACGCUAAACAAUUGGACGACGGAUACACUGGAUGAUAAUGUAGAUGGUCCAGGAUUAUCUGGGAAGGAAACUACAGGUGUUGAACACAGAAAACCGUUAACAAGAAAACAACUGGAGUUUGUGAAAGUUGCAAGAAAUUAAUCUUGCCGGGUACGUAUUCACCUCACCUUGGUCGAGUGCAGCACAGUGGAUAAAUGUGUUGCUGAAGGAAAACACCAUUGCUAGGAUUCAAACCCACGACACUCUGUUGAAAGGUGAGAGUCAGAACCACUAGACCAUGACGCACCCACAGUUAACAAGCUGAUGUCAAUUCCCCACUUGUUCUUUUGUAUUUUAUAACAAGAAGUCAUGUUUAUUCACAUUUUGACCUCCAAGAACUAAAAAGUGGAGUGAAGAUUUAUUUAAUGUAAACACAUGCAUUGCUUGAAAUAAUGUUAUGCUACGUGGGACAUAUCAUACACACGUGUACGAAAAUAUGAAAUUAUUAUGAUUUCAUUUUAUAACAUAAGCCUAACACAUAUUCCUGACGAUCAUGUGCACAUUCCAGUAAUUUUUUCCAAAAUGUUGCUAAACCUUCAAAUCAAAGACUUUGUUAUCAGAUUUUAACGAAAUUGUCAACAUUAUGCUUUUCUGAUUAAUUUUCUUCCUACCUAAAUCUCCCCUUUCCUCAUGCUUUCUUUCUAUGGUCCCCUUCAUUCUCCUUAUAACUAUGUUAUAUGUAAAAUGUAACCGGUCGUCCAACCCAUUUGAUUGAAGGGCUAAGUACUCUAGACUGAAAGUUAUGUGAUUUAAAUUCAAAGAGUACAUCAGACAAAAAAAAACACUGAAAAUUUCGUCAAAAUUGAAUGAGGAUUAACAAAAUUAUGACUAAUUAAAGUUGUUAUUUUUUGGUAAACUGUUCUCUGCAAGUCCUCAUGAAUAUACAAGAUCCCAAUUUAUAUAUUUUUUUGUAUUAUAUGAAUUCAAAUUUUGUUCAAGCUAGGUUAUAAAAAUUAUAUUAUUUCUCACAGAUAGUUGAGUUAUUCAUCUGAUUCAACACAACAAAAAUAGACAAAAAAGAAAUAAGUGGGAAUCUUGUAUAUUUGAACUAUGGGAAAUAGUGUAAAAAUAGAUGUGCUACUAAGAAUUAUUUUCUAUAUGAUUUGCAAAAUAUUAAAAAAAGAUGUCGCUAUUUUUCUUGUUUUUUUUUCUAUUUUCAUGAUAUAUUCUUUAUUAUUCUAUUAUUCUAUAUAUUCUAUUUUUGAUAUAGAUAUUAUUUAUUUCUUUAUGUAUCUUUAAUGUAUUUAUGAUAAACUUUUGGCAUGUUUCUACAGAAAAUCAUUAAAAACGAUUUAUCUUUUCCGGACUCGAAAAACCUUAUCGCCCUUAAACCAACCUGCUUCUACAAACCGAAUAAUCUGAUUAACUCGCUUUUCGCGUUGCAAAUACGGCGGAAAUCGGAAAUUCAACCUAUAACCUCACGUUGCAUUGUACAUAUGUCCAAAAUUGCAUCUUCUUAGGAAAAUUUUCAAAAUUUGUGGUAGAUCUCACUCAAUGUAGCAGGUAUACGUGUUGCACGAUCAGCUGGCGAGAUCGAAAAGGCCAGAAUGUGCAAAUUUAUGUACUGCGAAAUUGCACUUCCGGGAUUAAGCACUUCCGCCAGACACGAUACGCUAUUUUGCCGUGUGUCUUUACAGAAAAGUUAAACGGAUUAACAUGGCAAUAACCACCUCUCAGAGAUGGUUAUGAGAAACCAUAUUUUGCUUGAAGCAGUUUAUCAAUAAACCGCUUCGCGUCUGUUUCUACAAAAUUCUACAGGAAAGUUUUCCGGGAUUCUGGAUACUUACGCGGGUAAUACCUUUUAACGAUUCUAUGUAGAAAUACGCCGUUUGAUAUAUCUUUUAGGUGAAAAGAAAAUAGAGAAAUAUUAGGAGGUUCUAUUUUUAUGGGGGUACUAUUUUCCCCCCUUUUGGGGAUAUUUAUUUCCUCUAAGUUUGGUACUCUUUACCUUUAAUCAUUUGGCCAUGUGAAGGCUAUCACGCAUUUUGAGUUUAAUCUUCGAAAUUUGGUGUUCAUCAGUUUGUUGUCCAAACUCUGUCUUACAUUUAGAUUUGUUUAUAGGAAGAUUAACAUAAUAUCUAUGUGGAGUGCAAUCAUUGACCUCUUGUAGAGUCGUGCAGUCACAUGUAUUCAUAAUGCUGGUGCUUUUAUGCCACACAUGUACUUGUCAAUACUGGGUUCCACUCUUUUGUACUUGAACUUAUUAGUAAAAAAAAUAUUUUAUUAAUGUCAUUGAAGUAGCUGUGUGAAAGCAAUUACACACAACAGAUUUAAAAUCAAGGUUAUUGUAUUACAAGUAUCAGGUUUGUUUGCAGAACAGUGGUUUUGCCAAGUACUCAAUCUACGUAAAAAGCCAUCAGAGAGAACAUGUUUAUUCUUGGAAAUGUUAUUCAUUUGUUGUGUUUUUCAAUUAAACUCUGUCUUGAUACAUGUUUAUUUUAGAUACCAAGAUUGACAGAGUAUAGAUGUCAACGAGGAGCAAAGUCAUAUAUAUUCAUAACUUAUGUGCUUUAAUUAUAAAGUCUAUAAUUGUGAAUACUGUGUUCCAUUUAUGCUGUACUUAAACUUUUCAUAGUAAAAACAUUUGAUGUUCUUGAAAUAACUGUUUUCAUCAUUUUUUUCUUGUGCAUACUUAAUCCAUUAUCAAACCUACCAUUAACCCGAGCUAUAUAUGCUGUUCACCAUUGGUCUACCAUUCACUGUACUUUAUUGGCCUACUAUACAUUGUACACCUUUGGUCUACUGUCUAUCAUUCAGUGUAAACCAUUGGUCUACCAUUCACAGUACACUUGUGGUCUAUAAUGUAUGGCCAAUGGUGUAAAUUGAAUGGUUGACCAAUGGUAUAGUGUGUAUGGUAUGACAAUGGUGUACAGUGAACGGUAGGCCAAUGGUGUACGGUAAAUGGUAGGUCAACGGUGUAUGGUAAGCCAAUGGUGUACGGUGAUUGGUAGGGCAAUGGUGAACUGUAAAUGGUAGGUCAAUGGUGUGCGGUGUAUGGUAGGCCAAUGGUGUACAAUGUAUGGUAGGUCAAUGGUGUAUGGUGAAUGGUAGGGCAAUGGUGAACGGUGUAUGGUAGGUGAAUGGUGUACGGUGAAUGGUACGCGAAUGGUGUACGGUGAAUGGUAGGUGUACGGUGUAUGGUGAAUGGUAGGCGAAUGGUGUAUGGUGAAUGGUACGUGAAUGGUGUACGGUGAAUGGUACGCGAAUGGUGUACGGUGAAUGGUAGGUCAACGGUGUAUGGUGAAUGGUAGGCGAAUGGUGUAUGGUGAAUGGUGUAAGGUGAAUGGUAGACCAAUGGUGUCUAGUGAACGGUAGCUGAAUGGUAAAUGGUAGGCCAGUGAAUGGUGGCUGAAUGGUGGUCAACGGUAAACCUGUCUAUAGUGGCCAUGGUAGAUCAAUGGUGAAUGGUAUUUGAUCAAUGGUAUAUGAAUGGUAAAUGGUGCUCAUGAAUAUGGUAAUAGUAACGUCCCAAUUAUUUAAAUUAGUUUGAAUGGUAUACCAUUGGGGCUUGAAUGGUAUACCAUUGGUGUAUGAUGGGUGCUGUGCGAAUGGUAUUCCAAUGGUAUAUCAAUGGUGUUUCAGUGGUGUAUGGUGUAUGGUAUUUCAAUGGUAUACCAUUCAAUUUUUUUUAUAAGGGGAGCGAAGCGCGAGCUGAAAAUAUAGGAAUUUCAAACCCGAAGAGGGGCAUUCUAAGGCUUGUUUGUAGGAAUUCACUAAGACCAUACGUAUUUCACCAAUUAAAUUAUGCGAGCGCGAAGCGCGAGCUGAAAAUUUUUGAUAUUCAGAUCAGAAAAAGGGACAUUUAAGGACUGAUUUUAGGAAUUCGAGAGAGCACGAUUGGCGGGAAGAGGGCAGAAGAGAUUGAGCUUUUGAAGAAGCAGGUUAUUGUCUUCCCCGUGUCAGUUUGAGUCAAAGUACAAGUGAGUUAAUGUUUUAUAUUACUGUAUACUUGUAAACUUUGUAUGAUCAUGUAUUUUACUCUUACUAAAUAAUUAUUGAUGCCUAUGGGAUUACUUUAUAUGAAUUUUUAAUAUGUAAACUGACAUUAUUAUGCCUCUGAAGUCCUAUGAUUUUACAAAUACAGAUUUACCACAAGGAAUAUAUAAUAUUGAUUUGUUGGCAUGCACGAACACAAGUUAAGAUUUUUAUAAAUGUUUUUACAUUAAUAUGCGACUGUAACCCACUUACCGUCAGAUCUGUUUCAUGAUGUUGAUUGUAGUUUAUUGUUUUAUUUUCCCUUUAGCUCAACAUAUAUAUGCAAUGAUUUACUAGAUGAUGUUUGCAUACACUGUAAUUACCAAAGUACAUUAACCCAGAGGAAUUGAGAAGUGUGGGCGGUGAGUUUAUUUUUAAUUGGAUCGUAUUGCAAUAAAACCUGUCUUUUAAUUAUGUAAUAUUCAGGAAUUGUUUUUUUUUUUUGCAUUUUUAUCCAAACUGCAGUUUAGUUAUGGAUGAUAUAUAUGUAUAUUUUUAUCAACCCUCGUGUGUGAAGCAAGAAUAAAGAAAUGUCAUAUUGAGACUCAUAAUCAUCAUAUUGUAUAAACUAUCUAUUGAAAUAAUUGGAAAUUAUCACUUGGAAUAAAUGUUGUACAUGGG